rnacentral:rRNA from 1 species
AGAUUCUCCCUUCCUGCGAGUGAGAGGGAAAGUCAAAUUUUUAAUCUGGGGGUGGUUUCUUCCGUCCGAGUUGUAAUCUAGAGAAGUGCUACCUGUGCUGGAGCGUGUACAAGUCUUCUGGAAUGGAGCAUCAUAGAGGGUGAGAAUCCCGUCUUUGACAUGGACUGCCUGUGCGUUAUGGUGCGCUCUCGAAGAGUCGAGUUGUUUGGGAAUGCAUGUCAAUCUGGGUGGUAAGUGCCAUCCAAAGCUAAAUAUUGGCGAGAGACCGACCGCGAACAAAUACCGAGAGGGAAAGAAAAAUAAAACUUUCGAAAGAGAGUUAAACAGUCAGUGAAAUUGCUUAAAGGGAAACGCUUGAAGUCAGUCCCGUUGGCUAGAAAUCAGCCUUGCUUUUGCUUGGUGUAUUUUCCGGUUCGAUGGGUCAGCAUCAAUUUCGAUCAUUGGAUAAACUCGGGUGGAAUGUGGCAUCUUAUGACGGGUUAUAACCCGUCGCCCCCUCCAGUGGUUGGGAUUGAAAGAACACAACCCCCCACAAGGCCCGGUCUUUUGACCACGUUCAUGCUUAUGAUGCUGGCAUAACGGCUUUAAUCGCCCUCACCCCUC